rnacentral:tRNA from 1 species
GGAGGCAUAGCUCAGCUGGAUAGAGCACCAGAUUUCUAAUCUGGCGGUCGCAGGUUCAAGUCCUGCUGCCUUCG